GGGGAAUAUUGCGCAAUGGGCGCAAGCCUGAUGCAGCGACGCCGCGUGGGGGAUGACGGCCUUCGGGUUGUAAACUCCUUUCGCCAGGGACGAAGCGUUUUGUGACGGUACCUGGAGAAGAAGCACCGGCUAACUACGUGCCAGCAGCCGCGGUAAUACGUAGGGUGCAAGCGUUGUCCGGAAUUACUGGGCGUAAAGAGCUCGUAGGUGGUUUGUCACGUCGUCUGUGAAAUUCCACAGCUUAACUGUGGGCGUGCAGGCGAUACGGGCUGACUUGAGUACUGUAGGGGUAACUGGAAUUCCUGGUGUAGCGGUGAAAUGCGCAGAUAUCAGGAGGAACACCGAUGGCGAAGGCAGGUUACUGGGCAGUUACUGACGCUGAGGAGCGAAAGCAUGGGUAGCAAACAGGAUUAGAUACCCUGGUAGUCCAUGCCGUAAACGGUGGGCGCUAGGUGUAGGGGCCUUUUGGGGUUUCUGUGCCGUAGCUAACGCAUUAAGCGCCCCGCCUGGGGAGUACGGCCGCAAGGCUA
rnacentral:rRNA from 1 species